AUGCUCUGGUUUCUCUUAAGAUCGAAUAAAUCUUUCCCCUUUGUCUAAAGAUUCACGUGGAGAGGAACAACUAUGAGUUUUCAAUAUUUUUUUGAGGCUUUGCCCCAUGCAGGGCU